ACGUAUGUGUAGUACUGAAUAUGUGCUUUAAUUCGUCUAUAUUCAUGGAUUCGUCACUUUUUCUUUACAUGCAGUUGAUUUUUUAGUUCAUUUGAUUUUGUUUUAUUCAAAGUUUUUCCACUGUUUGUCUGUUGGUAGUUUAGUUCGGGUUAGGCGUAGGAAUGGAUCGUGGUGGUCGUGGCGUAUAAUGGGAUUUCCUGAAUUUCUUGAUGGUUGCGUCCUUUCUCUGAAGGAUCAAACUCCGGUGAAGUUCUUGGGACGAUAUAAUGCAAACAUGGGGCUCAACAAGACGUGCUAGUUGAUAUGGUUGCAUAAAGUCAUUUUUACAAGCAGAGAUUGGUACACCUUAUCAACACAACUACGUAAGACUCUUGCUUAAGUUUCUUUUUUCGCAUAGAGGAAUAC